UUUAUGGAGAGUUUGAUCCUGGCUCAGGACGAACGCUGGCGGCGUGCCUAAUACAUGCAAGUCGAGCGAACAGAGAAGGAGCUUGCUCCUUUGACGUUAGCGGCGGACGGGUGAGUAACACGUGGGCAACCUACCCUAUAGUUUGGGAUAACUCCGGGAAACCGGGGCUAAUACCGAAUAAUCUUUUGUCCCUCAUGGGACAAUACU
rnacentral:rRNA from 1 species